rnacentral:rRNA from 1 species
AUUGAACGCUGGCGGCAUGCCUUACACAUGCAAGUCGAACGGUAACGCGGGGCAACCUGGCGACGAGUGGCGAACGGGUGAGUAAUGCAUCGGAACGUACCCAGAAGUGGGGGAUAACGUAGCGAAAGUUACGCUAAUACCGCAUACGUUCUACGGAAGAAAGUGGGGGACCUUCGGGCCUCAUGCUUUUGGAGCGGCCGAUGUCUGAUUAGCUAGUUGGUAGGGUAAAGGCCUACCAAGGCGACGAUCAGUAGCUGGUCUGAGAGGACGACCAGCCACACUGGGACUGAGACACGGCCCAGACUCCUACGGGAGGCAGCAGUGGGGGAAUUUUGGACAAUGGGCGCAAGCCUGAUCCAGCAAUGCCGCGUGAGUGAAGAAGGCCUUCGGGUUGUAAAGACUCUUUGUUCAGGAAGAAACGGGAGUUGGAGUAAUACCUAGUCCUAAUGACGGUACCU